AGCCCCAACAUCCUUACUCGGCGAAGCAUCCAAAUCCAUCCAUAAGUAUUACAAAUUUAAUCAUAAAUACCAUGAUCGACUCAUAGCUAGUCUAAAUGGGCCCAUGUUGUAGUGUCCCCUAGUCCACAUGGAUCAUGGUUCAGAUUCGCUUUGAUACCAUUUAUCACAACCCAGGAUCACACCCAAAAAAGCUAACUAAAAAGUAUUAUUUGGGUUUCUUAGCCUUGUUUAAGUACCCAAAAUUUGUUCAGUACAUAGCCAAUGUGGGAUUGCCCACACAAGUCUUCACUC
rnacentral:lncRNA from 1 species